CAUGCAAGUCGAACGGAGCUUAGAGAGCUUGCUUUUUAAGCUUAGUGGCGAACGGGUGAGUAACGCGUGAGUAACCUGCCCUAGAGUGGGGGACAACAGUUGGAAACGACUGCUAAUACCGCAUAAGCCCACGGUACCGCAUGGUACUGAGGGAAAAGGAUUUAUUCGCUUUAGGAUGGACUCGCGUCCAAUUAGCUAGUUGGUGAGGUAACGGCCCACCAAGGCGACGAUUGGUAGCCGGACUGAGAGGUUGAACGGCCACAUUGGGACUGAGACACGGCCCAGACUCCUACGGGAGGCAGCAGUGGGGAAUAUUGCACAAUGGGGGAAACCCUGAUGCAGCGACGCCGCGUGGAGGAAGAAGGUCUUCGGAUUGUAAACUCCUGUUGUUGAGGAAGAUAAUGACGGUACUCAACAAGGAAGUGACGGCUAACUACGUGCCAGCAGCCGCGGUAAAACGUAGGUCACAAGCGUUGUCCGGAAUUACUGGGUGUAAAGGGAGCGCAGGCGGGAAGACAAGUUGGAAGUGAAAUCCAUGGGCUCAACCCAUGAACUGCUUUCAAAACUGUUUUUCUUGAGUAGUGCAGAGGUAGGCGGAAUUCCCGGUGUAGCGGUGGAAUGCGUAGAUAUCGGGAGGAACACCAGUGGCGAAGGCGGCCUACUGGGCACCAACUGACGCUGAGGCUCGAAAGUGUGGGUAGCAAACAGGAUUAGAUACCCUGGUAGUCCACACCAUAAACGAUGAUUACUAGGUGUUGGAGGAUUGACCCCUUCAGUGCCGCAGUUAACACAAUAAGUAAUCCACCUGGGG
rnacentral:rRNA from 1 species